GACGAACGCUGGCGGCGUGCUUAACACAUGCAAGUCGAACGAAGAGCGACGGAAGCUUGCUUCUAUCAAUCUUAGUGGCGCACGGGUGAGUAACGCGUAAUCAACCUGCCCUUCAGAGGGGGACAACAGUUGGAAACGACUGCUAAUACCGCAUAAGAUCUAACCGCGGCAUCGAGGAUAGAUGAAAGGUGGCCUCUACAUGUAAGCUAUCACUGAAGGAGGGGAUUGCGUCUGAUUAGCUAGUUGGUGGGUUAACGGCCCACCAAGGCGAUGAUCAGUAGCCGGUCUGAGCAGGUGUACUGCCGCCUUUGGACUGAGACACGGCCCAGACUCCUACGGGAGGCAGCAGUGGGGUAUCUUCCGCCAUAGACGAAAGUCUUGCGGAGCCACGCCCCGUGUGUUAUGACGGCCUUCGGGUUGUAAAGCUCUGUUAAUCGGGACGAAAGGCCUUCUUGCGAAUAUUGAGAAGUAUUGACGGUACCGGAAGAGAAAGCCACGGCUAACUACGUG
rnacentral:rRNA from 1 species